AUUGAACGCUGGCGGCAGGCCUAACACAUGCAAGUCGAACGAGCGGCGGACGGGUGAGUAAUGUCUGGGAACCUGCUUGAUGGGGGGGGCUAACUACUGGAAACGCUAGCUAAUACCGCAUACCAUCAGAUCUGCCAAGAUGUGAUUAGCUAGUCGGUAGGGUAACGGAUCACCUAGGCGACGAUCCCUAGCUGGUCUGAGAGGAUGACCAGCCACACUGGAACUGAGACACGGUCCAGACUCCUACGGGAGGCAGCAGUGGGGAAGAUUGCACAAUGGGCGAAAGCCUGAUGCAGCCAGGCCGCGUGUGUGAAGAAGGCCUUCGGGUUGUAAAGCACUUUCAGCGGGGAAGCGUUACCCGCAGAAGAAGCACCGGCUAACUCCGUGCCAGCAGCCGCGGUAAUUC
rnacentral:rRNA from 1 species